UCUCUAUGGCCAGCUUACUAUCUCUAUGGCCAGCUUACUAUCUCUAUGGGCUGGCCAUAGAGAUAGUAAGCUGGACUAUCUCU
rnacentral:pre_miRNA from 1 species